UUUUUUUUUUUUGUAUUAUUUAUACUAUGACGUGAAGGGGUAUAAAAGGGAAUAGAAAAGGAAACGGGACUUACAUAUGAGCAGCGUGGUAUCCAGAGUGGAAUUGUUGAUGUCCUCAGGACCUCCUCUUAUAAAUCUAUUCACAGAACGAGACACUGUUCACCCGUGGAUCCGUUUCCUUCUCGUCGAUUAUUACAAGAUCACUUUGUACAAGAUUCACCUAUCACGGCGGAACACCGAGGGAAUGGUGUAAAAGAGCCGAAGAGAAAUGUAUUCCUUUUGAAAAAUAGGAAGAAAGAAAAAAAAAAGGAAACGACGAAAGGUGGAGGGGUCACAAGAUCACCGAAUAAGUUCUGUCUAUCGAUACACGCACUGAUAGAUCGAUCGAGAAAACCGGAAGCCAAGAUAGGACCACGAAACUUUCACUGCGGUCUUCCUUUUCUUCUGUUUCUCGAGUAUCCGAGCGCGUUCUGCCUCGCUUCCGGUCCUGGCGUCCUUCCACGACCGAUCUCGCGUCGCGACGGACGAAUUUCAGCGUCGAUCAGGAAGUGGAAUUGCCGUGGAACAGGGUCCUUGACCUUGUCCCCAGUGUCCUCCGUUGCCACCGCGAACACUGUCGAUCGUUCAUCAGCCUCCCGGUACACUUCAUCGGCUACUCCUGUCCACCUUUCCUUACUUAUUCUUUUGUUUUUUUUUUUUUUGUUUUUAUUAUUUUACGAUCUCGUCCGCUAGCCGAAUCGCGAGCAAUAUCGUGUGUACACAGUGUUGGCUCACCGACGCUUUCCGCCGGUCACGAUCACUUGUCGCGAGAAAAUUUCGUCCAACGAGGACGUCGAACGCUUCUUCCGGUUCCGAACACCACUCUUCGUAGACUUGUUCGUAGACGUUCCGGUUGAUAAGGUCGAAGUCGUGUGGACGGAUAGGAAGAAAGAAUGAUAGACAAAGAGAGAGAGAAAGAGAGAGAGAUAGGUAAAGGAGAGUGAAAGAAGGGAGAGAGAGGGAGUGAGACGGGGAGGUAGAGAGACAGAGAGAGGAAGAGAGAGAAAGAGAGAAAGAAAGAGAGGAGGGAGGCCUUGUCGAUCGUAGGAAUAAGAGAGAGGCCUCGCUCGCCUGGCGCCGGACGAGAUGCGACUAAUUCCUAAAAGUAGGCGAGGAAGAAACGAACUGGAUGGCCUGUGGGCCCUUACUGCGAGGGGUCUUACGCGGUACCGACCGACAGGGGCCCCUACUUCGACAGGCCUCCUUGCGUACCGAGCCGGGGGUACCGUGGACCCCCCACCUUCAACUAACUCCUACCCCCAGAUUCUCAUUCUCCUCCUCCACCUCCUCCUCCUCCACCUCUUUCUCCUCUCACUGCUCUUCUUCCAUCACCUGCACGCUAUUUCGUGGAUCCUCUAUCGACGGUUAUUAACCCUCCACCAACCAGCAUCGGGUCAAUUUUGACCCGGCAUUAUAUUGGCCGAACCGUAACCGGUGGUGGUGCCAAAUUCAAUUACGAUUCUUUCGAUAUUAAGACUCGGGUUAUGAUUAAUGAAUGUAAAGUAGACGCGUUUAACGAACUUGUUGCAUUAUAGAAAUACUAUAAAGAUUUAAACAGUGAUAGAGAUGAGGGUUUAACGUGAAUUGGUCAACGAGGAAUUCGCGUUUACUACGGCUCGUCGGUGCACGAGUUUUGAAUUUAAUUGGAGACCCGAAUUUUGCAAUAUUUUUUUUUUUUACCUUCACCUGGCCACAUCCACAGAGAAACACACACGCAACUGCCCGCAAACGAACGGGCAGGGAAACAAGUAAAAGCGCAUGCACGCGUACCCUUUCGUACGCUUCUUCAGUUGGGACGAUAUAUUUUUAUAUCGAGUUAAAAAUUACAUCAGAAAUUCGGAUUACAGGGGAAGGAAAAAUUUUUUGCACGCAACUCGAAAUUACGCCAAAGUCCAUCCGUUUCUUAAAGGCAGUAAAAUGUACAACCAGGUAUGCGAAUGUCGAUGGUGUAAAAAAAAAAAAACUGUAACCCUUGAACGGAAAACCCUUUUACAGUUACCCUACAAAUCCGUGACAAUCGUGUCCGUUUUCGGGCAGAUGAAAAACGGGACUUUCGGGAAUGUUGAAGAAAAAAUACAGGUUACCGCUAGUUUGCAAAAUACAGUAAACCGACCUAUCGACACGGUCCUCGACGAUAGAACUCCAGGUGACGAAAGGAUCUUGGGUCAACAAAUUUUUUUUCUCCCGAAGUUAAAACCUAAUCCCGCCGUUUACCCGGUACAAUACGUCACUUUACGACGCGACGGUCGGUUGCCGAAAAAUAUGCGUACAUUUUUGAAAGUAUCCCUGUUAACGCAUUCGCGAUUCUCCGUUGCCAUGAUCCUCCUCGAAUCGAACUUUUAAUUAGCCACGGUGAUUGCAAUACGGCCGAGGCACCGCAUAACAGUCGCACUCGCCACGGAUCGCAGCGAUUUGCGUCAUAAUAAUUGUUGUAUAACUUUCGAUUAAUUAGGCGUCGAAGCGGACCGUCGCCGCCCCCCAAACGGUUGGCAACCGUCGGUGAGGGCAUUUUUCUUUGACGCAAUGUAACCAGCUACGAUGCUCGUUACAUCGUGGGCCCCUCUUUUUCCCUCGAUUCUAAGGCCCCACUUCGUGGCACAAGUCGGUUACACUUUCGUUGUUGCGACUAGUGGUACCACUCGACCGCGUUCCUCCUUAGCGAAGAUCGCUAACCAGAUCGACCUAAUUGUUUGCAAGUUUAUUUUAAAGUAUGUGAACCGUGAGAGACUUAUCCGAAGAUUCAGUAGCGAUUGAAAUUACAAUGGGAGCCGACGUUUUCUAUCCAUCGAGGAGAUUUUCAUUAACGCCUUGGGAGCGAUCGGUUAUCGAUUAUAUUGAUCUUACGAUUAAAAGAUUCCGAAUGAUGAAUUUCAAUCGCGAAAUAAGAAAUUGUUGUGCGUUUUGAUUUAUUCUAAUGGCAAGGAAGAAGGUUCUCUUCAAGGUCCUGCUUAAAGGAUCGACGCAAGAAUUGUCUCUGAAAAGAGGGCAUAAGUAAGGAUCAAUCGUGAUUGUCUGUAAAAGUCAGGAAAACGGCAGCGCAAGGACGUAUUUAUUGGUAGCAAUAAAAUCGCAAAUUCUAACGGUUCGAAAUGAUGCUCGGAAGGUUGUACCGAUCUCAGGCAACCUUAACCCCCGGUGCCAUAAAUUUUCUACGCUCGGGGUGUCUCGAGGUGGCGCUGUCAAAAUAUUUUGCCACCCUUACGUUCUGGGGGCGUCCCAGCAGUACGCCAACCUUUCUCGACAAUUCAAUGAACGAACACGUAUAAAUACCAAAAUCCUAUUAAUUUAUCUUAUUUUCAAUAUACGAAGAUGUGAAUUAUUAAUUAAAUUUUCUAUUCAUAAUUAGAAACUGGCCCAGAAUGAUGUAAUAAAAGUUCUGCUGUUCAGUAAUUAUUUUUCACGAGACUAAAACAGCUGUUUCUUCGAUGCUUACCUGCAACGUUGGUCGUUGAUGAGAGGACGAAUUUGGGUACAAAGUGGCAAUGGAUGGACACGUGAGCAAUAUGACCCGGAACGUGGCAGGCACCGAGAAGAAACACGUGUGUCAAAGAUUUAUUACGAAUCUUUCAUAAUUUACAAUGGUCACGCGUCGAGAAUGGCACGCGUGACCGGCUGCCUCCAAAUAUUUACCUUCGUUUUGUCUCGUUCUUUGGAAAGGUCUCUCAAAAUAUUGCUCCUCCACAUGUUACGAGGUGCUAACGCAAUUCUUCGUGUUUUCCCGUAACGACCCUUGUUUAAAUAGUGAAGGAAGCGUGCCAUAUUUUAUGAACUUCCCUAAAAGAGGAGGAAUUAGAUCCAACAGUCUUCCUAUUUCUGGGUCAUCGCGUUCCAACUUCCAGAUAAAAAAUCUAUGUUGAACAUAGAUUAUUAUCUUCUGUAACAAUCCACGAAGGAUAGUUUUUAAUUUGAACAAUUCAGUCGGCCUCGUGUCAUUGCUCGUAACAAGGACCCCAUAAGGAAACAAUUACAGAAAUCGAGGCGACUCGGAUGGUCGUUUAAAACGAUUCAACCGACACUUCGCACGCACUUCAAGGUGGAAGGUAAUAAAACUCGUAGAGGUCGAACAAAUCAACGUUGUUUCUUGAUUUGCAAAAAGAAGCUCGCAAUUAGAUGACUUGAAAUGUAAAGAUCGCGAGAUCGCGAAUUAUAAUUGGAAGGAAAAUGCGUUUCCAGACCACCCGGAAGUUUUCCACGUAGACAAGGAGAGGACAAGGAAAAUGUUGAACUGUGAAACUCAGCAAGACUUCCUUUAUUGUUGGUCCAACGACCCGAAAGGAAUCCUCUUCCGGGUGCAGGCCGAAAAAUGGCGGGAAGAAAAGGUGCGUGAAUAAUCGGCCGUCGGCGUCGCGUCGCUCGGCCGCCCGUUGCAAGUAGUACGAGUCUAAAUAUUGCGAGACGCGAUUUCUUACGGUCACAGUUUCCAUGCUACGCGACCUAAAAUAUUUUGCCAUGCGACAUUCGGCACGGUCUUUUCAAUUCUUUCGAAACACCAAACACGAAUUCGCGAUGCCACCGUGGACGUCUAUCACUGCCAUCUCAAUUGUGCUUCUCCUACGAAAGUGGACCAACCCUAAGACUUGGCGAACAAAGAUCUGAACCGUAUAUAAAUUCUUCGUUGACACUAGAUUUUGUUUUCAAGGAACAACACGCAUCGUCAUUUAAUCGCGGCACUUAUGCGUGGAAGAAAGUCGACACCGAUGGACCAUCGAUCGUUACGAGGAGAUAUCAAAAAUUUAUUACGCUAAGAAAGUAGGUUCGCACACGUAGACCGACGCGACGUCUGCGAAACGAUCAUGUGUGAACGGUGCUUUAAGUAAUUGUAUUCUAUGAGCUAGGCGAAGAUUUUCAUUUCUCGGAGGAAUUGAACAGGCGUCUUUUGUUAGAAACUGUAACGUUCGAGGAAGUUCGAAUAAAAUGGUCCAACUUCCGUUUCAGAUGAAUUUCGUUCAGGUAGUUUGAAACAUCUGGUUGUAAAUAAUUCCACGGAGUCUCGAUGACACUUAAAUCUUGUGACGAUUCUUGGCCGACAGGACAGAAGAAGAUUUCGGUUUUCCAGAGUAAACGCGACUGAAAAUUUACGGUGGUUUUGCGAGGAUGAACGGUUUUGUGGCCCUCGAUGUGGCCACUGGACAACCAUUAACUGCCCGGUACCUACACCUGACAGAAUGCAUCUCGAGACCUUGACCAGGGGAUAAUGUGCUUCUUCGAAUAAUGUCAUAAAACGUCGUAAAAAGUACACUUUUGCGUACUUCGCAGAUUACUAUCCCCAAUUUCCUGGGAACAAUUUUUUGGGUAAAAUUUGAAGCUAUCAAUUUUUUCAUAAGAUUAUUUAUCGCGGAUGGAGUAAUUUUUAUUAUUUUCAUUUUUAAAUUUAGAUUCGCUGAUCUUUUCAUUUAAACAAUGCAAAAAGAUUGUACCUAUUAAGCGGGGGAGGGCGAGAAAUGGCAGGGUACCGUUGUAAAACUUGACCGUAGUAAAUCGGCUGAAAACUGUCUGUGGGCCUAGAUGUGGCCACCGAGCAUCCUUUCAUCGGAUUUUACGACAGCCAGGAAGCUGUGCACGUAGCCAAUUGAAUUUUGACCAGUGCCUGCUAAUACAAGGUGCGCCCAGGUCCCAGGUGUCAUAAAUUUCCAAAAUCUAAACCGCUCUUCCCUUUCACAGUCUGCGGUAUUUUUCAAACUCCUAUUCCACAGCGUAAUAAACAAUAUCGCGUAAGUUCCAUCCGAAUUUCACGAAGGGAAAGAAGAACUAAUUUUAGUUAGAUGACAGCUAUUCGUUUGUUCGUUCGUAGGAACCGAUUACCAGAAGUGUGCUAAUUGGAAAAAAGCGAUGAUGUCUCGAUCGGCCUUGCCAAGGACUUGGCUGGCCGUUCUCCGAUUAAAACAGCUGCUCGUAUAUACGUCCGAAUGAAAAAUUCGCGAAGCCCCAUCAGGAGUGCGAUCAGGUCCGCGAGUAAAUCUUCCAAGGACGACGUAUACAAGCGCCUUACCAAGCGGAAACGCGUGUGUACCGGCAUUAAAGGUAUAACGACAUUACCGUACAAUGUUGUUCAAAAGUUUCGAAUACUCCUCUUGUUUUUCAAUUAAUCAGACCUCUUUAAUAAUGCUUACUAUGGUUUCGUUAGAAAAAUAUCGUCAAUGUAUUUUGAAACGUAGAUUCGAAUGGUUCUAUUGAAAAUCAUGUCUAAUUUGUAACUAUUAUAUGCUCGAUACUUUUGAACAGCAGUGUAUAUAGCAGCAUAGUAUAACAUAGGUAAGUGUGUUUGUAGGUCAGUGGUACGAGAGCUGCCCACUACCACCGCCGCCGCCACAAUAAGCCGCCACUGUAGGCUGGCAAAAUUGUACCUACAUUAUACAGAUCGUGAAGUGCCAUUGUUCUUGAACUUGUACGCUCACGCAGCGACGACCUACGCACCGGUACACGCGUCUACCGGUUCGUGUCCCUUUAUCAGUCAAGGGGAGGAGAAGAGAUUAGAUCGAUCGGAAGUUGAUUUCUCUAUGAUCUCUACGAUCAUGAUCGCGUAUCGAUGUCUUAACAAAAGAAGAUGAUUAUUUUUCAGCUAACGCAACGGAGAUGGAGUAGAAUGGUAAUUUAAGUGAACUUUUAUUUUUUCAUUUUUUUUUUUUCUCUUUGCUUUUUUUCUUUCUAAAUAUGUAGAACGUCCUUGAUAAGUCCUUGCGGUAUGGAACGUUGCGAACUAACGAAGGACUCCGCUGAUCGUUUCGCUUCGGUUCCCGGCAAGGAAAAAUGAUCGUAUUUGUUGUAGAUCGGCAAUUGGCCAAUUCACGGCGGCGCGGUGUGUCGAAUGUCCCCCAAUGAUAUCGUCUAUUUUUGCCCGGCACUCGCAGAACGUAACGGCGGCGUAGCUACGGCCUAAUUAUAAAAUGUUGCAACAACAGACAGUGCAACGAACCCACGAAUGUGCCGUGCCAUGACUCUACCGGUGAACAGUACGAUUGUUAUGAAACAUCUUUCGAACGUGUUUCGCCAAAGGGUUACGGUUGCUGAAAAAAAAAAAAAAAAAAAAAGGAGGGUAAUCGAAGGGUAAUUAAAUAUAAGAUAACGCGCCAGUCGAAUUGUAAAACGAUGUCAAGUUUGAUCAUUCAAGGAAACGGCGUUAAUCCUUUCGUCGAUUUCGUGCCGUCCCCGUAAUUCUUCUAACUUGUGCUUUCACUUGCACGCUUAGCUAACACGCGAGAGGACAUCAACGACGAUAGAGUAACAACCAUCCAGUUGAUUCGCAACGAUUUUUAUUCGAAUCGGUCCGUAAAUGUAAGGUAGCCAAGGUGGAUAUGGUCGCGGAUAGCAAAUCGAACGAGCAUAUUUUACGCGAUACCGUGGCGCAACGUGUGGCGGUUACAAGGGAACGACGUUAUAUAAAAUCGGAGCGCAAAAAUCUUACUUAAACGCUUAGAAAAACCUGGUUCUAGAGUUGCUGAGAGCACUCGAGGAUACCUAGUUAUCUACGCUACCGAGGAAUUGGGCACCGACCUGGACGAUUGGUCACGAUCGUUCCUUUCGUUCGCCUUUUUUCUCAAAAUCACCGCUUCUUUUUUUCCCCUUUGCCGAGUGAUUUCGUUGAUGCAAUAUCGAGUUACUUACGCAUCAUGCUUCGACGAUAUAAAAUAUUCUAUGUACAAUAGGAACACCCGUAUCCGCGGUAAAUAUAUUAUUACAUCGUGGUGUCGUCGAUUCGUGUCAGAAUUUCUUAAAUAAUUAAUUCGGUCACGAAAGGGUUAACAGAAGGGACCUACUACUCUACUGAGGAGUCGUGAAACGAUUUCUGACACGGGUAUACACGAUGUUGAGCUCAUUAAUUCGCCGAAGGGCGAAGCGAGAUCGCUAGAGGAACAGACGAAGAAAGAUAGAAGUUUCUUUUUCGUACAAGUUGCGCCACGAUUAUACAGUUAAACGUUAGUCUAACGGUCGUGCUUAGAAUUUCGGGCAUUUCGAGACGGCGAAUAGGACACACACGCGAGACCCGAUGACGAAGACCUACACCUUGACAUUCGACCGGACGAGCAGAGAAAAUUGUGUCAAACUCGCACCACUCGUGACUUCCUCGACCUAAAUCCAACGAUGCGCAUUAAUAGUAUCCGAAGGAGGAAGAAAAGAGCAAACGAUAGUUCAUACCCAUUGGCGUAGUUAAAAUUUUGUCCAGGAUGAGCCAGAUAGAAAAAAAUAAUUAAUUAAAUUGCAUAUUGCAUUUUCAUUUAAAUAUCUAUUUCUAGUUUAAUCAUUUUUGGCAAAAGGACCAGGCUCAUCCUGUACUCCACCUAAUUAGAUAUUCUUUUUCUCGUUUUUCGCGGAACCACGUUUUUUCUUUUUUCUUUUUUUUCUUUUUUUUUCGUGUGUUACGAGAUAUAUUUACGGCAUUACAUACCGUUUAUCUGGGACUCACUUUUACUCGAGCACGAAACACAAGGCUUCGAAACGGGAACACGGACACGUAAGGAUUCUGGCUCGACCAGCCACCGAGAAAAGAAUCUUCUCCUUCUAUCCGAUUUCUUGAGACCAAUUAAAGUAAUAGGAUGCGUGAACCGUCGUUGAAAAUUUAUGGUUUAUAAUCUUGAUUUUGAUUUUGACACGCUUGGUUCAGGGAUUUAAACAAAUUAAGUCGAACGGUUUGAAAAUAACUCGUUUAUUCUUGCAUUUUCUGAUAUUAUACAUUAUUAUAAAUCUUAGGAUAUUUAAAUCGAUGAUUGAUUUCUUAACACAGUGUUCUUUGAUUGAUUAAUCGAACACCUUUCGAAACGUACAAGCAAGAAAGAUAAAUGGGUCAAAUAACGAAGAAACACGUUGUUCCUUUUUUAACGCAACAUUAUCAUGCUUGAAAUUUUCAUUUAUACAAAUUCAACAAUUUUUGCAUAUUUUACGGAACAUAAAAUAAAAAGAACAGGAUAGGGUAUUUAGCAACGUCGAACUUGCAAAACUUCACUUCGCUAAUCUUUUAGCAAAAACUCAAAAUCUAGUAUACUUAAUAAAGGAAAUAAAUUAAGGCGUUUACGCAAUAUCAGCGUAUACAUCGAAAGGCUGGAUAAUCAAUGACUCAGCUGAGAAAAAGGAAGAAAGAAAAAAAAAAAGAAGGAAUUCGAUUGCGAUUAUUGAGAAAGGCGAAUCGUUCACUUCGAAAAAAAAAAAAAAAAAAAAAUGCUUUUCGCGAAAUUUUCAAACGGA